UACGAAGGGGGCUAGCGUUGCUCGGAAUCACUGGGCGUAAAGCGCACGUAGGCGGCUUUCUAAGUCAGGGGUGAAAUCCUGGAGCUCAACUCCAGAACUGCCUUUGAUACUGGAGAGCUUGAGUCCGGGAGAGGUGAGUGGAACUCCGAGUGUUGAGGUGAAAUCCGUAGAUAUUCGGAAGAACACCAGUGGCGAAGGCGGCUCACUGGCCCGGUACUGACGCUGAGGUGCGAAAGCGUGGGGAGCAAACAGG
rnacentral:rRNA from 1 species